AGCGGACGCUGGCGGCAGGCCUAACACAUGCAAGUCGAACGGGCACCUUCGGGUGUCAGUGGCAGACGGGUGAGUAACACGUGGGAACGUGCCCUUUGGUUCGGAACAACUCCGGGAAACUGGAGCUAAUACCGGAUAAGCCCUUCGGGGGAAAGAUUUAUCGCCAAAGGAUCGGCCCGCGUCUGAUUAGCUUGUUGGUGAGGUAAUGGCUCACCAAGGCGACGAUCAGUAGCUGGUCUGAGAGGAUGAUCAGCCAGACUGGGACUGAGAACGGCCCAGACUCCUACGGGAGGCAGCAGUAGGGAAUUUUCCACAAUGGACGAAAGUCUGAUGGAGCAACGCCGCGUGCAGGAUGAAUGCCUUCGGGUUGUAAAC
rnacentral:rRNA from 1 species